rnacentral:rRNA from 1 species
CCUACGGGUGGCAGCAGUGGGGGAUAUUGCACAAUGGAGGGAACCCUGAUGCAGCGACGCCGCGUGAGGGAAGAAGGUUUUCGGAUUGUAAACCUCUGUCUUCGGUGACGAAACGAGACGUUACCUGUCGAAUAAGCCACGGCUAACUACGUGCCAGCAGCCGCGGUACUACGGAGGUGCCACGCGUUGUCCGGAUUUACUGGGUUUAAGGGGCGUGUAGCCGGGUUGACAAGUCUGAUGUGAAAUCCUGGGGCUUAACCGCAGAACUGCAUUUGAAACUGUUGCUCUGGAGUACUGGUGAGGCAGGCGGAAUUCCUAGUGUAGCGGUGAAAUGCGUAGAUAUUAGGAGGAACACCAGUGGCGAAGGCGGCUUACUGGAGUGUAAAUGACGCUGAGGCUCGAAAGCGUGGGGAGCAAACAGGAUUAGAUACCCCGGUAGUC